rnacentral:rRNA from 1 species
CCUACGGGAGGCAGCAGUGGGGAAUAUUGCACAAUGGGGGAAACCCUGAUGCAGCGACGCCGCGUGAGUGAAGAAGUAAUUCGUUAUGUAAAGCUCUAUCAGCAGGGAAGAAAAUGACGGUACCUGAGUAAGAAGCCCCGGCUAACUACGUGCCAGCAGCCGCGGUAAUACGUAGGGGGCAAGCGUUAGCCGGAUUUACUGGGUGGAAAGGGAGCGUAGACGGCAGUGCAAGUCUGGAGUGAAAGGCGGGGGCUCAACCCCCGGACUGCUCUGGAAACUGUACGGCUGGAGUGCAGGAGAGGUAAGUGGAAUUCCUAGUGUAGCGGUGAAAUGCGUAGAUAUUAGGAGGAACACCAGUGGCGAAGGCGGCUUACUGGACUGUAACUGACGUUGAGGCUCGAAAGCGUGGGGAGCAAACAGGAUUAGAUACCCUUGUAGUC